rnacentral:rRNA from 1 species
UGGGGAAUAUUGCACAAUGGGCGCAAGCCUGAUGCAGCCAUGCCGCGUGCGUGAAGAAGGCCUUCGGGUUGUAAAGCACUUUCAGUCAGGAGGAAAGGUUAGUAGUUAAUACCUGCUAGCUGUGACGUUACUGACAGAAGAAGCACCGGCUAACUCCGUG